CCUACGGGAGGCUGCAGUGGGGAAUAUUGGGCAAUGGCCGAAAGGCUGACCCAGCGACGCCGCGUGUGGGAGGAAGCCCUUCGGGGUGUAAACCACUGUCAGGAGGGACGAAAGAUCUCGUGGUGAAUAAUCACGGGAAGUGACGGUACCUUCAAAGGAAGCACCGGCUAACUCUGUGCCAGCAGCCGCGGUAAUACAGAGGGUGCAAGCGUUGUUCGGAAUUACUGGGCGUAAAGCGCGCGCAGGCGGGUCCUGUAAGUCGGAAGUGAAAUUUCGGAGCUCAACUCCGAAGCUGCUUCUGAUACUGCGGAUCUGGGGACCGGUAGAGGCUGGUGGAAUUGCUGGUGUAGCGGUGGAAUGCGUAGAGAUCAGCAAGAACACCCGUGGCGAAGGCGGCCAGCUGGGCCGGAUCCGACGCUGAGGCGCGAAAGCGUGGGGAG
rnacentral:rRNA from 1 species